GAUGAACGCUGGCGGCGUGCCUAAUACAUGCAAGUCGAGCGAACGGACGAGAAGCUUGCUUCUCUUAUGUUAGCGGCGGACGGGUGAGUAACACGUGGAUAACCUACCUAUAAGACUGGGAUAACUUCGGGAAACCGGAGCUAAUACCGGAUGAUAUUUUGAACCGCAUGGUUCAAAAGUGAAAGACGGUCUUUCUGUCACUUAUAGAUGGAUCCGCGCUGCAUUAGCUAGUUGGUAAGGUGACGGCUUACCAAGGCAACGAUGCAUAGCCGACCUGAGAGGGUGAUGGGCCACACUGGAACUGAGACACGGUCCAGAAUCCUACGGGAGGCAGCAGUAGGGAAUCUUCGGCAAUGGGCGAAAGCCUGACGGAGCAACGCGGCGUGAGUGAUGAAGGGCUUCGGAUCGUAAAACUCUGUUAUUAGGGAAGAACAGAUGUGUAAGUAACUGUGCACAUAUUGACGGUACCUAAUCAGAAAGCCACGGCUAACUACGUG
rnacentral:rRNA from 1 species